CAUCCUCAGAGGGAGAUGGCUCAUGCUAUGGUCGAUACCGCUGUCAACACAGAGAGCUGGUUGAUGGAGUCAGUACACAAGGAGGAAGCAGACAGCAGACAGCAGGAAGACAAUACUGAGGCUCAUCUUAAACAUGAACAUGGUGUUACUGCCUUUGUACUGCUCUGUGUAGCUGGUGUUAGAGGGAGAAUGGAAAGUGGAACAGAAGUGUGCACGUUUCCUCUCCACUGGCACUGCAGUAUCAUUACAUGCAAUGACUGCUGCUCAGGUGUGCACUGUCUUUAGCAGAAAGGGGCAAGCAAGCUCUGCCUCUAUUCUGAGCCACCCAAAAGCUAUGUAACUGUGUUAGCACAGAGUUGCACCCAAGCUCAUUUAUCCUGUCUCUCAGCAGGAUUUAAAGCCCAGGCUUUGCAUUAUCAAGAAAUUCAUGACUUUUGUCUCAGAGCAUUGGCAAAAGCUCAUGUUUGUCUGCAAAAUACCAUGUAAAUAACCCUUUAGAAUUAGUAGCUGCAAGUGCAGUCAGUGAUCUGUGUUAUCAGGUAAAACUCUUGCUUACUUGUAACGGUAAGCUUAUUUUUUGAAAACUGGGACCUGUUCUGUGGUGAUUAAAAAUAUCUAACUUCCUCAGAGAAAAAUGUUGGUACUCAGUUAUAAAAGUCUUGCUUGAAUACAUUUUAUGCGAUCUGUUCUUUAAUUUGCUUUCUUUUUAUAAACUGUCUAUAACCUGGUAUGUCCUCAAUUUGUCUGAAAGAUCUCUUUGAGUCCAAAGUGGCAGAAACUCCAAUCCAGCAUUUCCAGAGGAGCCCUUCCGUGACAUCUAGCGCUUUGGGUCCUUUCAGGCGCCAAAGUUUCUUUGACCAAGUAGAUCGAUCACUAAAGACAGACAGCCUGACCAUCAAAUCAGCUCUACGUGUGCAGAGACCACACAGUACCUCCAAUGUGCAGGCUAAGAGAUUCACAAAUCUUCUACAUCUUGUAAAAGAAAAGGCCAUUACAAAAUCAAUCCUUAACAGUGCAUCUGAAGAAAAACAGAAAGAGGUGCACUUUAAUGAAGUCCAGAUUGAGCACAAAAGGCGGCAAGAGGAACAGAGGCAGCUGAAGAGGGAGCAGCAGCAAAAGGCAGAUGGUGUCCGACGCCAGCUGCUCAGGGACAACCAGAGGCAGCGAUUGCUUCAGAGAACAUUGCAAGGACUGGAGAAACAGCAGGAGCACAGAGACAGAGCUUUCCAGCACAUAGCACUGCUCCAAGCUGCCAUGGCAGAGAGGAGCAGGAAGGAAUCCUCCUUGCUAGAGGAGGAGAGGAGAAAGGCAAGCCAGAGGCUGCAGUUCUUAAGAACACAGCGUUUGGAGAGAGACGUGGUUUUGGCAGAACAUAAUGAAAGGAGCUUUGAACAAGAGAAAGAUAGGCUGGUAAGGGCUCUUUCACAAAUGCUUUUCCUGGACAACUGUGUUUCCAAUAGUGGUAUCAUCUAG
rnacentral:lncRNA from 1 species